UACGGAGGGGGCGAGCGUUAUUCGGAAUUAUUGGGCGUAAAGGGCGCGUAGGCGGCUCUGUAAGUCAAAGGUGAAAUCCCUCGGCUCAACUGAGGAACUGCCUUUGAAACUGCAGGGCUUGAGGCCGGGAGGGGGUAGCGGAAUUCCCAAUGUAGCGGUGAAAUGCGUAGAUAUUGGGAGGAACACCAGUGGCGAAGGCGGCUACCUGGACCGGUUCUGACGCUGAUGCGCGAAAGCGUGGGUAGCAAACAGG
rnacentral:rRNA from 1 species